UAAGCCUCUACCACUGUAUGUUGUACUUCUUACAAUGACACAUUUGUGUUUAAUUCUCUGUAUUCUGACACUACAGUGGUUCUCCACCCUGUGUGCGCAGGUUAUUCAGGUCCAUCAGAAUCCAGAAGAGCUGAUUGUUUCUCCUGGAUCGCCUCUGAAGGUCUUCUGCUCUAUAUCUGGCAUUGCUAACCCAUAUCUGUACUGGUACCAAUGGACUCCAGCAGCAGGGUUCACACUGGUAUUCACCUCUCUGUCGUCUGGAUCAGUGAACCCACAGAGAAAAGACCAGUUUAAGUCUAGCAGACCUGGAGAGCUUCAGAUAGUUCUGGAGUCUGAUGGAGUGAGUGAGAGUGACUCUGCUGUGUGGUACUGUGCAGCCAGUCUACACCGUGUCCCAGACUAAUCACUGAGCUGUACAAAAACCAUACCAGACUGUUAGAGCAUGGCCUCUUCUCAAACACACAUUCUGGAUGCACUGUGGGUUGUUCAAAACACCUUACCUUAACCGAUGUUGCUCUGAUUUUGAAAUUCUGUGUUUGCUUUGCUAAGCAUGAAGAAGAUCCUAAACAUGGCUGAAGUCUCAC